UAGAAUGCCCGAAUCGAGAAAAUAUGCACCGCUACAUUUUUGUUGAUUUUUGAAUUUUUUUUAGUUGUUUAUUUGCUGAUUCUGAACAUACCAUUGAGCUUGUGAGUUCAAUUAGAUGAAUUUUCAUAACUUUUUGUUUAAAUUCAUGCAUUUUUUAGAAAUUUAUAGCUUGUUAAUGAUGGAGGGAUGAGUUUGCAAGACAAAAGAUGAAGGAAAUUGUUUUUUCUAGAUUUUUC
rnacentral:lncRNA from 1 species